rnacentral:lncRNA from 1 species
UCAGAAAUGAAUCAAGGGAAUCUAAAGGGGAUAAUUAAACCCAACUAUACAAAAACAUGAGGCAAUUAGCUUUUAAAGAUUGGUAGGUAGUUGAUAUUCCAUAAAAGCAUCUUCUAUUCCUUUCAUUCCAGAUACUCCAAAAAAUGGCUGCAGGUAUCAUCUUCCAGAUUCUCUUGAUGGUGCUAUGAACUUUCCAGCAACUCCAACUUAUCAAAACAUCCUUGAUAUUCUGAGGCAUGACCCAUUUGAGACCAAAAAGAGCUAAAAACAUACUCCAUAAGUCUGCUGCUAUUUGACAUUGUAGAAAUAGGUGGUUGUGUGUUUUUGCUUCCUUCAUGCACAUAUAACAUCUGGUAGUCAUUUGAAACUUCCUUCUGGUCAGGCUGUCUUGGGUCAGGCAAGCUCUAUGAAGUGCAGUCCAGCUGAAGCAACUAGAUCUUCCAUAUAAGCUUCCAAGGCUAGUGGUUUGUAAUUGCAUUUUGUGGGCCUAGAAGCUUGAAUGCUGCUUUAACUGAGAACUUCCCACCCCUUUUUCUCUCCAAUUGAGUUGGUUUGGUGUUUCACUGUUAAUUGCAACAUUGUGAAGUGCUGCUAGUAGGCUGACCAACUCCUCCAUUUCCCGAUCCUGUAUGUUCAUUCUGAGGAUGAUGUUCCAAGAAUUC